AGAGUUUGAUCAUGGCUCAGGAUGAACGCUAACUACAGGCUUAACACAUGCAAGUCGAGGGGCAGCAUGAACUUAGCUUGCUAAGUUUGAUGGCGACCGGCGCACGGGUGAGUAACACGUAUCCAACCCGCCGAUGACUCGGGGAUAGCCUUUCGAAAGAAAGAUUAAUACCCGAUGGCAUAGUUCUUCCGCAUGGUAGAACUAUUAAAGAAUUUCGGUCAUCGAUGGGGAUGCGUUCCAUUAGGUUGUUGGG
rnacentral:rRNA from 1 species